rnacentral:piRNA from 1 species
UGAAGAGAAGAGCUGUUCUUUUCACUGGGUA